UACGGUGGUUUUGGAAACAAGGAAGGCAGUUCCGGGCAUGACACAGAUAAUGAGGGAUUGGAGCUUACAAGAAUUCUCUCAGCUGUUACUCACGGACCCCAGACGCUUCUCCUGAAGAUGUCCUAGAUCACCAGUGUCCCUUGUCCCGGAGGAAUAACUACUACUAACGGGCUUGCCUAACCCAGAGCCGAGGGGCUUUGAUCUCCCUUGAGCUAGGCAUUGAGUUGCUGUUAUGGCUAGUCAACUUCAAAACAGGAUGUUAAAUGAAAGAAGCUGGACACAAAUGA